rnacentral:rRNA from 1 species
GAGUUUGAUCAUGGCUCAGAUUGAACGCUGGCGGCAUGCCUUACACAUGCAAGUCGAACGGCAGCACGGGGGCUUGCUCCUGGUGGCGAGUGGCGAACGGGUGAGUAAUGCAUCGGAACGUAUCCUGGAGUGGGGGAUAACGUAGCGAAAGUUACGCUAAUACCGCAUAUUCUGUGAGCAGGAAAGCGGGGGACCUUCGGGCCUCGCGCUCUUGGAGCGGCCGAUGUCGGAUUAGCUAGUUGGUGAGGUAAAGGCUCACCAAGGCGACGAUCCGUAGCAGGUCUGAGAGGAUGAUCUGCCACACUGGAACUGAGACACGGUCCAGACUCCUACGGGAGGCAGCAGUGGGAAUUUUGGACAAUGGGGGCAACCCUGAUCCAGCCAUGCCGCGUGAGUGAAGAAGGCCUUCGGUU